AUGUAUCCAUUUAAUAUAAAAACUGCAGCUAGUUUAUUGUCUAAAAGUCUCACAGCCUUUUUUUUUUUUUUGUUUUUUAUUUCAAAAUCCAACACAGCAGGAUACAAGUUUUAUGCUUCUAUUCCCGUUUUAUCAGGAAAGAACAGAGUGAAAACUUUAAUCUCCCCCACUCCCGCCCCGACUCCCAACAUUGCUGAGAUGAUUUAAUGCCUCAUAACAGAAGUAAUUUUGUGAUAAUGACACAAAAGCAGCAAUUAAAAAAUAUUGCUUGUUUCAGGGCCUAUAAAUCGGUUGUUGGUAAUUGACAACAGAAUGUGUUUUGUAAUCCACUGAAAUGAUAUCUUAUUGCAAGCUGGCAUGGUAAUUACUGUAUUUGUACAGUACCAGAGGAGUUCCAGCCCGAGUUUGACAGGGAGUUGAUUAAAUCACCCAGGUGUAAUUGAAGGUUUUGAUUGCAUUGCCUCCGAGCUGAUCAGCAUUAGUAAUAGCCUAGCUUUCUGCUGUGUGUUUUUAGAGCUGGUGGUAUAUCAGCCCUUUCGAUCUCCCUCCCAGCCCUCAGCCUCUGUUGUGCUGUUGUCUGGGGGAACCAAGAGGGCUCCCCAGAGCAGAAAAAAAUGAGGACAGACAGCAGAUCCCUCAUGCUGGACCUAAAUGACAUCAUUUGAAGCAAAAAGAAACGGUUUCUAAUAGCCUGCUUUGUUUCUUUGGAUGAAGAGGGCAGGGCGAUCACAUCCAAAGAUAUGCUUGCACUCAGUGUGGCUUAAGGAGUAUUUCCAUGAGACACAAGAGAAGGGUUUCUACUCAUUCUUUGCUCAUUUGGUGAUUUCCACUGAUUAUUUUUCAAAAGGGGAAAUUUAACUUGUCAAUCUUAAAUGCAGCAUUUCAGUUAUCAAGAACAAUUUUGUGAUUCUGUGUUGUGAGGAGACUUUGAAUUCAUUGGUAUUAUUUCUCUUAUUUAUGUGGUAUUUUCUGAGUGAUUGUUUUACAUAAAAGCACAUUACAAAAAAAGGAGGGAAGAGAUAGUGCAUAAGUAAAUUCCAAUACAAAGCUGAACAUGAUAAAGCCCUUACAAAUAAUAUAAAUUCAUUGAGGUAGAAGUACAGAAAAUAUUCAACAUCCCAUAAGCAUUUAUUGACCACCAGCAAGGAAAGUCUCUGGAUGAUAGGAGGAUAAAUAAGAACAGGCUCCUUCUCUCUGGGAAUUUACAGUCUAAUCAAGAAAACAGCAGUAACAACAAGAAAAGGCUAACAGCUAAUAUUUUUUACUUUGCAUGCAUUAUUUCUUUUAAUUUUCAUAAGAACUACUAUAGGGAGAUGCAAUCUUUAUUCUUAUUCUGCAGAUAGAUAAAAUGGGGGUAGGGAAGUUACAUAACAUUUCUUUUUUUAAGAUUUUAUUUACUUAUUCAUGAGAGACACAGAGAGAGAGAAAGAGAGAGAGAGAGGCAGAGACACAGGCAGAGGGCGAAGCAGGCUCCCUGUGGGAGCUCGAUGUGGGACUUGAUCCCGGGUCUUCACGACCACCCUGGGCUGAAGGCAGCACUAAACCGCUGAGCCAUCUGGGCUGCCCUUACAUAACAUUUCCAAGACAAAUUGGAAACUGGUGAAUUCAUAAUUUGAGCCCAGGUCUUUCACAAUAACUAGGAAAAAUAAUACUUAUCCCCAUUUACUAAUAAAGCUGAGGUAGAGAGUUUAAGCA
rnacentral:lncRNA from 12 species